GACGAACCGUGCGAACGUUAUUCGGAAUCACUGGGCUUAAAGCGCACGUAGGCGGAUCGUUAAGUGAGGGGUGAAAUCCCAGGGCUCAACCCUGGAACUGCCCUUCAUACUGGCGAUCUCGAGUCCGGAAGAGGUGAGUGGAACUCCUAGUGUAGAGGUGGAAUUCGUAGAUAUUAGGAAGAACACCAGUGGCGAAGGCGGCUCACUGGUCCGGUACUGACGCUGAGGUGCGAAAGCGUGGGGAGCAAACAGG
rnacentral:rRNA from 1 species